rnacentral:rRNA from 1 species
UACGUAGGGGGCGAGCGUUGUCCGGAAUUAUUGGGCGUAAAGAGCUCGUAGGCGGUUCGGCAAGUCACGUGUGAAAUCUCCACGCUCAACGUGGAGGCGCCACGUGAGACUGCUGUGACUCGAGUCCGGUAGGGGAGCGUGGAAUUCCCGGUGUAGCGGUGAAAUGCGCAGAGAUCGGGAGGAACACCCGUAGCGAAGGCGGCACUCUGGGCCGGUACUGACGCUGAGGAGCGAAAAGCGUGGGGGAGCAAACAGGGAUUAAGAAAACCCCCAGUAGUC